AUAGAGUACUUGCCAAUACAGUUGGUCCAAGAAUAUCUGUUGCAUGCUUUUUCUCGACGGGACUUAAAGCAUCCUCAAAGCUCUAUGGACCAAUGAAGGAACUGUUAUCAGAAGACAAUCCUCCUAAAUACAAAGAAACUACUGUUGCUGAUUAUGUAGCCUACUACUUUCGAGCAAAAGGAGUAGAUGGUACUUCUGCACUUGAACAUUACAAAAUUUGAACUGAGCAAUGUGGUAGAAAAAACAUUAGCUCGUAUAAAUAAUUGUCAGAUCUUUGUGAGUUGGUUUCAUCAAUUCCACUUGAUUGUGAAUUUGUGAUAUGAACUCAUAAACAUGAUGUGGUUUUUAUUUCAUCCAAUGGAUGAAUUACAAUGUAUAAACAUUCACUUAUUGAACAAAAUGUUUUAUUUAUCAUAACCCUCCAGUUUGGAGAGAAAGGUUCCAUAGUAAUUCAGAGUUCAGUUGAGAGGUAAGUAAAGUAUAACCAAGAAUUGUCCCAGCCAUGAUUUGAACUAGAGCUCUCCCAAACUAUUCGUCUUUAACUGAGAGACAAAUGUUGAUUGCUUAUGUUAGAUUAUUGUUUUCCUAGUAAACUUGCUUUAGCUCGAUUAUUGUCUAAAAAUCGUUAUUGUUAUUAUUAAAUGAAAGAUCAUUGAUCAUAUAAAUACGAAGUAAAAUACAAAUUUAAGUAUUGGUUUUGAAUCCUAAUUGAAGUUAAUCAAAACCAUUAACAUAAAUCUGUUUAUAAAAUUUAAAUAAGCUUGAUUCAUUAAAUUAGAAUUGCAGAAUGUGUAUCAUAUUAAUGAGGAAAGUUGGUUCUGGUGCCAAUAUUGAUGAGACUUUGUCCCACAGUUCUACAACCACCUCAAUGAAGAUAACAGGUGCCCGUGUGUUUGUCAAUGUUACGUAGCUCUCCAUAAUUUUUACCUUAAUUGUAAUUUGUAACUCAUUUAUUAAAUGUGUCAUUGGUCCCUGCACUUUCAUCAGAUUUUGGCAUUGGUUCCUGCACUAUUUUUUGUUUGGCAUUGGUCCCUGCACUUUGUAAAAAUAUUGAAAUUGGUCCCUUUGUUAACUUUAUGUUAAAAAAAAAAUACACAAAACCAACGGAGUGCCACGUGACCCAAUCAUUUCACGCCACGUGGCACCAAUAUCAAUAUUUUUACAAAGUGUAUGGACCAAUACCAAUAUUUUUACAAAGUACAGGGACCAAUACCAAUAGUUUUGUGUUUUUUUUUUAACAGAAAGUUAAUAGAGGGACCAAUACCAAUAUUUUUACAAAGUACAGGGACCAAUUUCAAACAAAAAAAAAGUGUAGGGACCAAUGCCAAAAUCUGAUGAAAAUGCAAGGACUAAAGGUAUAUUUAAACCAAAUAUUUGAGUCCACAUAUUUGUAGGAAUAGAUCCUUUGUUUACAAUAGCAAUGUUGAUAUUUAUAGCUCUCCGGCACUCAAUUGGAGGGAUAGUUUUAGUUGUUACUUGGCUCCUGAUACUCCAAAACCAGAAGAUUUUCCCGCAGUAUGUUUGUAUUCAUGUGUAUAAAAUUUAUGCACUCCUUGAACUGUGGUUAUUAUCGUUUGUGGCACUGACACUUCAGUUUAAAGGUGUGUCCAGUUUCUAACACACAUCAUUUUUGCUAUAUUUUCAAAUCAUUAAUGGUGUCCACUUGUCAUUAUCAAUGCCUUCGGUGCUCGUGUAUAUGUUAGUCUUUCAUAAGACGUAAGUUAAGGUACUCAAACUUGGACUUUUUUUUUGGGUGAAUUGCAGUGAGACCACAUAUAUCAUUGCAUAUUUAAUUGGAGUUAUUACUUUGAUAUUCUUAUUUUAAGAUGUAUUUAUUAAUGAAAUAUAGCUUUCAUGUGUACUAGAAAUGCAUAUAUCAAUUCUGUUGAAUCCCCAUGAGAGGCAUACCUCAGUUGGUGAGGACAUUACAAUAUGCAAGGCCGGGGUUUGAAUAUGGGAUUCCCCACUUAUUCAUUCAACAAAAUAAAACAAAUAACUAUUAGGAUAAAUAUCAACUGAUACAAAAUAUGAAAGAUCUAAAAUUGAAUUUAGUCCUCAUUGUUUUUUUUUUCUUUCUAAUUAGCUACUUGUUCUUGCAGAGAUGUGAUACUAUAAUAUGGGAAACAAGUGAUGAAUCUAGGAACUUUACUGUUUGAAUUGUUGUCAGAAGCUUUAGGUUUGAAUCCAAACCAUCUAAAAGAUAUGGGUUGUGCUGAAGGGCUAAUUGCUCUUUGUCAUUAUUAUCCUUCUUAUCCCGAACCAGAAUUGACUGUGGGAACAACCAAGCAUUCUGAUAAUGAUUUCCUGACAAUGCUUCUACAAGACCAUAUUGGUGGUCUCCAAGUUCUUUAUGAAGAUAAAUGGAUUGAUAUAACACCUGUACCUGGAGCUCUCCUAGUUAAUGUUGGUGAUCUUCUUCAGGCAAGUUUUAUGCAUUCUUAUGUGUAUAUUUUUCCUUAAACUAUUAGUAAUGUACUAUAUUUACAUACCAAAAAGAUAGAUCAUAUAUCGAGAAGUGUGUACCUGAGUUUUAGAAGUAGAGUAUAUUUCUUUGCCGUCUAGGUUUUCAACUUUGGCUUACCGUCUAGCGAGUAACCUUUCAAAUAAUCAAACUGCCGAAGCAAAGACCUCUCAUCGGACAUAGUAGAUUGACCAAACCCAUCAUAGUCUAUUAAAAAUCUAAGAUAAUGAUAAAAAAAUGAAUAUGCCACUUAUUGAGCAACCAGAAUGUGUCCUGCAGUAAGCGAAACAGACACCAAAAUUACAAAAAUAGGACACACCAUGCAAACUAAUUUGGCUAAUAAAAUUUAUCAUGAUGCUAUUUUGGUUCUUUGUAAUUAAUCAAGUUUCUUGCAUUUUUAACUUGGUUUCAAGCAUAUAGCAUGCCUUAUCUUGCAUCUUAUUUGAGGUGUUAUGCUACGAUUUUUGUGUCUUCUUCUAUUGCUUACUUCACUAGUAAUUUUUUACUAGUUGAUCAUAUACUGGAUCUCUCAAACUUUACUAGCCAUUUUUAGUAGAAUAUAGUGAUACAUUCUCUAUAUAGAGAUAGAACAGUUGAUUCGAUUAGGUCCGAUCGUGAUUGAACCAAUAUUAAACCAUGACCUAAAGGUCUCAUUGAAUGGAUAAUAGGUGUAAACAUAUAUCUAAUUAUUUGAUUGUUUGAAUUGUAGCUUAUAACAAAUGACAAAUUCAAGAGUGUUGUACAUAGAGUAAUUGCCAAUCAAGUUGGUCCAAGAAUAUCUGUUGCAUGCUUUUUCUCCACAGGACUCAAAGCAUCUUCAAAACUCUAUGGACCAAUGAAGGAACUAUUAUCAGAAGACAAUCCUCCCAAAUACAGAGAAACUUCUGUUGCUGAUUAUGUAGCCUGCUUUCGAGCAAAAAGACUAGAUGGUACUUCUGCUCUUACACAUCACAUGAUUUGAAUAUAAUGUGGAAGAAGAAAAUUAUUACUAGCUCAUAUUAAUAAGUAAAAAUAUCAGUUCAUAUAAAUAGUUGAAUGAACUUGGUGAGUUCAUGGUGGAGUAGCUAUUAUUCAUCAAUUCCACAAGAUUAUGAUGUGAACUAGAACUUUGAUGUGGUUUCUUCUAUUUCAUGCUAUGGAUGAAUUACAAAGUAUAAACAUUCACUUAUCGUAAACAAUGGUCAUUUGAUUUACAAAACUUCGAUGUUUUCCUAGUAAACUUGCUAUAACUCGAAUGCUCUUGGGAAUAAUCGUUGGUCCGUAUUCUACAAUCUUUCGAACACCAAACCAAGCUUGAAAGAUGAAUGCAGAAUCUGAGUCGAG
rnacentral:lncRNA from 1 species